rnacentral:lncRNA from 1 species
CUGAAAUGUGUCAGCUCCUCAGGACUGAAGAUCUUCUUCAUGAAAGACAAUUUAUGUUCAUCGUUCAUACACGUAACCAGAGCUAAACAGUUUGAAGUGUACCAACGGACCAAAGUGUCAUGACUCCUUAGGAGUGGAAUACACACGCUCCAGUCCCAUAAUUCCCGGAAAACUGAUUGCUCCUUUUGUAAAAACCUAUAUGAUGCUUCCAUGAGGUCCCGUAACU